UCUACCUGACUAACUAUUAAAUAACAAAAUAAACGGAUAAUUAGUAACAACACAAUAAACAGAUAAUUAGUAACAACGCAAUAAACAGAUAAUUAGUAACGACGCAAUAAACAGAUAAUUAGUAACGGAGCAAUAAAGAUAUAAUUAGUAACGACGCAAUAAACAGAUAAUUAGUAACGACGCAAUAAACAGAUAAUUAGUAACAACGCAUUAAACAGAUAAUUAGUAACAACGCAAUAAACAGAUAAUUAGUAACGACGCAAUAAACAGAUAAUUAGUAACGGAGCAAUAAACAGAUAAUUAGUAACGACGCAAUAAACAGAUAAUUAGUAACGACGCAAUAAACAGAUAAUUAGUAACGGAGCAAUAAAGAUAUAAUUAGUAACAACACAAUAAACAGAUAAUUAGUAACAACGCAAUAAACAGAUAAUUAGUAACGGAGCAAUAAAGAUAUAAUUAGUAACGACGCAAUAAACAGAUAAUUAGUAACGACGCAAUAAACAGAUAAUUAGUAACGGAGCAAUAAAGAUAUAAUUAGUAACAACGCAAUAAACAGAUAAUUAGUAACAACGCAAUAAACGGAUAAUUAGUAACAACGCAAUAAACAGAUAAUUAGUAACAACGCAAUCAACGGAUAAUUAGUAACAACGCAAUAAACGGAUAAUUAGUAACAACGCAAUAAACGGAUAAUUAGUAACAACGCAAUAAACGGAUAAUUAGUAACAACGCAAUAAACGGAUAAUUAAUAACAACGCAAUAAACGGAUAAUUAGUAACAACGCAAUAAACGGAUAAUUAGUAACAACGCAAUAAACGGAUAAUUAGUAACAACGCAGCAAACGGAUAAUUAGUAACAACGCAAUAAACGGAUAAUUAGUAACAACGCAAUAAACGGAUAAUUAGUAACAACGCAAUAAACGGAUAAUUAGUAACAACGCAACAAACGGAUAAUUAGUAACAACGCAAUAAACGGAUAAUUAUUAACAACGCAAUAAACGGAUAAUUAGUAACAACGCAAUAAACGGAUAAUUAGUAACAACGCAAUAAACGGAUAAUUAUUAACAACGCAAUAAACGGAUAAUUAGUAACAACGCAAUAAACGGAUAAUUAGUAACAACGCAAUAAACGGAUAAUUAGUAACAACGCAAUAAACGGAUAAUUAUUAACAACGCAAUAAACGGAUAAUUAGUAACAACGCAAUAAACGGAUAAUUAGUAACAACGCAAUAAACGGAUAAUUAUUAACAACGCAAUAAACGGAUAAUUAGUAACAACGCAAUAAACGGAUAAUUAGUAACAACGCAAUAAACGGAUAAUUAGUAACAACGCAAUAAACGGAUAAUUAGUAACAACGCAAUAAACGAAUAAUUAAUAACAACGCAAUAAACGGAUAAUUAGUAACAACGCAAUAAACGGAUAAUUAGUAACAACGCAAUAAACGGAUAAUUAGUAACAACGCAAUAAACGGAUAAUUAGUAACAACGCAAUAAACGGAUAAUUAGUAACAACGCAAUAAACGGAUAAUUAGUAACAACGCAAUAAACGGAUAAUUAGUAACAACGCAAUAAACGGAUAAUUAGUAACAACGCAAUAAACGGAUAAUUAUUAACAACGCAAUAAACGGAUAAUUAGUAACAACGCAAUAAACGGAUAAUUAUUAACAACGCAAUAAACGGAUAAUUAGUAACAACGCAAUAAACGGAUAAUUAGUAACAACGCAAUAAACGGAUAAUUAGUAACAACGCAAUAAACGGAUAAUUAUUAACAACGCAAUAAACGGAUAAUUAUUAACAACGCUAUAAACGGAUAAUUAGUAACAACGCAAUAAACGGAUAAUUAUUAACAACGCAAUAAAUGGAUAAUUAUUAACAACGCUAUAAACGGAUAAUUAGUAACAACGCAAUAAACGGAUAAUUAUUAACAACGCAAUAAACGGAUAAUUAUUAACAACGCUAUAAACGGAUAAUUAGUAACAACGCAAUAAACGGAUAAUUAGUAACAACGCAAUAAAUGGAUAAUUAUUAACAACGCAAUAAACGGAUAAUUAGUAACAACGCAAUAAACGGAUAAUUAGUAACAACGCAAUAAACGGAUAAUUAGUAACAAUGCAAUAAACGGAC